rnacentral:rRNA from 1 species
CCCCUAGAUGUUCUGGGCCGCACGCGCGCUACACUGAACAGUUCAACAAGUCUUAACCUUGGCCGAUAGGUCUGGGUAAUCUUUGAACGCUGUUCGUGAUUGGGAUAGACCUUUGCAAUUAUGGGUCUUCAACGAGGAAUUCCUAGUAAACGCAAGUCAUCAGCUUGCAUUGAUUACGUCCCUGCCCUUUGUACACACCGCCCGUCGCACCUACCGAUUGAAUGGUCCGGUUAAAUCUCGGGACGGCGGCUUGGUCGCUUGCGUCCGACUGCUGAAACUUGAUUAAACCAUAUCAUUUAGAGGAAGGUGAAGUCGUAACA